rnacentral:rRNA from 1 species
AGAGUUUGAUCCUGGCUCAGGACGAACGCUGGCGGCGUGCCUAACACAUGCAAGUCGAGCGAGGAAUGACUGGUAGCUUGCUACCGGUUAUUUCUAGCGGCGGACGGGUGAGUAACGCGUGAGCAACCUGCCUUUAUCAGGGGGAUAACGCAUCGAAAGAUGUGCUAAUACCGCGUAAGACCACAGCCUCACAUGGGGCAGGGGUCAAAGGAGCAAUCCGGAUAAAGAUGGGCUCGCGUCCGAUUAGCUAGUUGGUGAGAUAACAGCCCACCAAGGCGACGAUCGGUAGCCGACCUGAGAGGGUGAUCGGCCACAUUGGAACUGAGAGACGGUCCAGACUCCUACGGGAGGCAGCAGUGGGGAAUAUUGGGCAAUGGGCGAAAGCCUGACCCAGCAACGCCGCGUGAGGGAAGAAGGGUUUCGGCUCGUAAACCUCUGUCCUAUGGGACGAAGGAAGUGACGGUACCAUAGGAGGAAGCCCCGGCUAACUACGUGCCAGCAGCCGCGGUAAUACGUAGGGGGCGAGCGUUGUCCGGAAUGAUUGGGCGUAAAGGGCGCGUAGGCGGCCUGCUAAGUCUGAAGUGAAAGUCCUGCUUUCAAGGUGGGAAGUGCUUUGGAUACUGGUGGGCUGGAGUGCAGGAGAGGAAAGCGGAAUUACCGGUGUAGCGGUGAAAUGCGUAGAGAUCGGUAGGAACACCAGUGGCGAAGGCGGCUUUCUGGACUGAAACUGACGCUGAGGCGCGAAAGCGUGGGGAGCAAACAGGAUUAGAUACCCUGGUAGUCCACGCGGUAAACGAUGAAUGCUAGGUGUAGGAGGUAUCGACCCCUUCUGUGCCGCAGUAAACACAAUAAGCAUUCCGCCUGGGGAGUACGGCCGCAAGGUUGAAACUCAAAGGAAUUGACGGGGGCCCGCACAAGCAGCGGAGCAUGUGGUUUAAUUCGACGCAACGCGAAGAACCUUACCAGGU